rnacentral:rRNA from 1 species
UACGGAGGGAGCUAGCGUUGUUCGGAAUUACUGGGCGUAAAGCGCACGUAGGCGGCUUUGUAAGUUAGAGGUGAAAGCCCGGGGCUCAACUCCGGAACUGCCUUUAAGACUGCAUCGCUUGAAUCCAGGAGAGGUGAGUGGAAUUCCGAGUGUAGAGGUGAAAUUCGUAGAUAUUGGGAAGAACACCGGUGGCGAAGGCGGCGACCUGGUCCGAUACUGACGCUGAGGCGCGAAAGCGUGGGGAGCAAACAGG